CUAGUCUUUAAGUUCCACCUAAUCAAAAAGAAAAGAAUCUUGGUGAUUGGGGAAAUAAAGUAUUUUUCAAGCUUUAUAGGAUAUGAGGAUUUUUUAUCUUUGAUUCAUCGGCAGAAAAUGUAACUGGCUUUAUACAAAAUUAGCAAUAAAAUUUGCCAAGCUGAAGCUUAUCAUGGGGAAGAGCUAGCAAUCACAAGCAUAACUAAAGGUUAUGAAUGGUUCUAGGAUGUAGUGCUCUCUCUCUAUCUCUGAAUAAUGGUGGGAGCACAUCCAAAUUACAUAUAUAAGGAUCUAAACUUGAGAACAUUUUGAAUGAUUGUUUCUUUUCUUGGAACUUGAGAACUUUUUGAAUGAUUGUUUCUCUAUCUAUCUCUGAAUGACGGUGGGAGCACCUCCAAAUCACAUAUGUAAGGAUCUAAACUUGAGAACUUUUUGAAUGAUUGUUUCUUUUCUUGUUUUACUGCUUGUAUAUCAUUCAAUUAGAAUGCUAUCUAUAUUUGCCACGAUUUUGCUCAUAAAUAAAUUUUUUUUCGGUACAAAUAAAUAAAAUAAUAUUUAGUUAGAAUUAGUUGUUUUUGUUUUUAUGUCACACUAGAUAAGUGAUAUCAUGGUAGUAUAACACUUAAUGUGUUACACAAAAUACCCUAUCCUCCUCAAGAUUAUCUACAUGACACGAUAAUAAAAAUUGUUAAAUAGACUAAGAUAUGCCCCACUUAGUUAUCUAUUUUAGCUCCAUAUGGGAAACUAUUUUUCCUACUCUUUCGAUAUCCAUCACUUCUGUUUUUACUUUGUCCUCAUGAUAAAAUACUGAAAAGUAAAUAUAUUUUCCGACAAUUUCUUUAAGUUUCACCUAAUCAAAAAGGGGAGAACCUUGGUGAUUGGUGGAAAAAAAGUGUUUUUCAAACUUUAUAGGAUAUCAGGAUUUUUUAUCUUUGAUUCACCGAUAGAAUAUGUGACUGGGUUUAUACAAUAUUAGCAAUAAAAUUUGCCAAGUAGUAGUUUGCCAUGGGAAAGAGCAACCAUAAGUGUAGCUAAGCGGUUAUGGAUGGUGCUACGAUUAUAACGCUCUCUCUCUCUUCCUCUAAAUGAUGGUGGGAGUGCCUCCAAUGCAAAUAUGUAAGAAUCUGAACUUAAGAACUCUUUUAAUGAUUAUUACUUUUGUUGUUUUGUUGCUUGCAUGUCAUUUAGUUAGAAGUCUAUCUGUAUUUCAUCCAUCUCAUCAAUCAAUAGUUGUUCGCCACCAUUUGCUCAUAAAUGAAACAAUGUUUAGUUAGAAUUGGUUGUUUCCAUUUUUAUUUCACACCAGCAAAGUGAUCCCUUGGCAUUAAAACACCUAACAUCUCACCCAAAAUACCGUGCCUCUACAAUAAGACAAACAUAAGCACCUCAAGAUUAUCAACAUGACAAAUAAUAAAAUGGUAGAAAGCUUAUAAAUGUCCCACUUACCUAUUUUAACUCGAUAUGGAAAACUGUAUUUGCUACCCCUUCAAUGUCCAUCACUU
rnacentral:lncRNA from 1 species